rfam:Gossypium hirsutum cultivar TM-1 chromosome 4, whole genome shotgun sequence
AUCCCAUGAUGAGAACACUUACAAAGCAAUUCCUUGAAUCUUUCCUAUGCCUUGUUAUAAGGACUCGUCAUCCAAUUGUUGGAAAGUAGUUAUCUCAUUUCGCAACUU